GUCUUUCGUCUUCUUGUUGGGCUCGCUUUCGGAUCGUCUCGCUGCUGCUCCCGACUGCACGCAAGGCUUCAGUAUUAGUGCUGAUCUACCUGCCUGCAUUCUCCAAGAUACUUCUGCAGCAAAUAGGAGUGAUUGGAAGUCAUGACCCCUUAGCAGAGGGUUGGGACAAACUCUUCCCACAGGAGUUGAAAAGAGAUGUGGGAAGAAAUGCAAUGGCAAAUACCACUGAGGGAAUGACUACCCUUCUCCCAGGAAAGCACAGCACUACCUUAUGUUCCCUUUGCAGCUGUAGCUGCAAGCCUGGCUCUGUCUGAGGCCAUGCAGGCCAGAGGCAAAGUCUGGCUGCUCAGAAGGCAAGUGCUGCUUUGACUUCUGUCUCAGCUUCCUAGAGAGGCAGAAAUCAGAUUGCAAACAAAGCUAAGGAACAUUCAUAGGCUCUCCAUAAAGCCAUUCCAAGGAAUAUUUUAUUGCAAUUUUCAAAUGCAGGCAAGUAGCUACACUGCCUGCGCCCAGUAUUGGCCAUGUCUCCAAAUACGUAUCCAGAAAGGAAGGCAGGUAGGGGCAAGAGUGGGAAAGAUUUAACUGUUCAGAAAUCACAAAUUUAGGCACCUCCUCAUUCCCACCUACUUUAUUUUGUAUCUAAACAUACUUUUUUAGAUAUUAAAAAUUUUGGAUGCACAGACUCCAAACACGUCUAGCAAACAUUAGCAAUCUCAAAACACCUUGAAAAAUGCCAUAUUCCAAACCUUCAAACAUUCAAUUGAUAGUCAAUCUGUAGGAUCUUUCCAUUCAUCUCUAACUGAAAAUCAUCAUAUUCUGUAAUACCUUUCACCCUGGAUUCAAAUGUUUAACACUUGACCAGUGGGUCAGAGGAGUUGAACCUUCCUUUCCACUCCACAUCCACAGUACUACGUCCAGGUCUGAGGCCCUCACUGUGAGAAGGGCACAGACCUGUUGUAGCAAGUAGGAGGUCCAUGAGGAAGAUCGGAGAGCUCUAGGAGUAUCCUGUGAAGAUGAACUGAGAGAGGUGGAGCUGUUCAGCUUAGAAAAGGCUCCAGGGAGACCUUAUAGGAGCCUUCUAGUGCCUACAGAAAACUGGAGAGGAAAUCCUUAUCAGGAAAUGUGGUGAUAGGACAAGGGGUAAUGGCUUUAAGCUGAAAGAGGGUAGGUUAGACAUUAGUAAUAAAAUCCUUACUUGGAGAGUGAUAAGGCUCUGGAACAGGCUGCCCAGAGAUGUUAUGGAUGCCCUAACCGUGGAGGUGUUCAAGGCUAGAUUGGACAGGGCUUUGAGCAACCUGGUCUAGCAGGAGGUGUCCCUCCCCAUGGCAGGAGGCUUGUAACUAGGUGAUCUUUAAGAUCCCUUUGAGUCCUAAUCAUCGUAUCAUUCUAUGAUUGCAUACUAAAGGCUAUCAUUAAAGUUAAUGAAUAUCUUAAUCAGGCAGAGUGCACAGGAAAGGAACUUCACAGGUUUAUUGUUUUCUCUCUUGUGUGCUUGGUACUGAAGGCAACACCAUAUGUGACAAAUACUCAAUAAUCCUGAUGGGUACUAUUCUUUGCUUGCAAAGAAACAUGCAAAAAUAUCUACAAUUCAGCUAUGUUUUCACAUUGUUGCUGUCACAGUUUUAUCUGGUUCUGGUGACAAGCUGUUGAAGAGACCCACAACUCCAGAGAAAAGGGGUGGGGAAAAGGGAAAAAAAAUGGAGAAAUGGGCCUGGAUGAAGGAAAACAGUAGCAAUGAGAUGAUAAGGAAAAAAAAAAAAACCUUAGUUUACUAAAUACUGCAGUGGAAUGUGAGAUAAUACAAUAUAAUACAAUAUGUUUGGAAUUGAAGCUAAUAAAUAAAAUGAGAAAGAGAGUUUCCAAAACCUCAGUCCUUACUCUAAUGCUGUAGAUGAAGUGACCAGAAAACCAAAAAGAGAAAAAUAUUGACAAUCCAAGGAACUGCAGUAUUAACUCUUUAAAUCCCAGAGCACUGCAUGAUAUUAUGAUGUGAAAUACCUAUGAAAAUCCAUGAAACCGUGACAGCCGCUUUGAGAAAAACAGGACUGUCCAUAAGGGGAACAAGCCAUUAAGGAGAUUUUACAACAUGAAUUCCAAAUUUCUUUUUCAUGGUUCUUCUGUGACUGUAUAUCUGUAUUUACUAUCUCUUUCUAUAGAGUUAUCUACCGUGUUGUACAUUACUAAUUUCAUAUGCAGCAGAGUUUGGUAGCAUUGUGAUUACUGCACUCAGUCAGAAGACAUUUGGGACCAAAACUUGCUAUAGAGCUUAAGCUUGCUAAACUGCCUAUGACACGAGUGAGAGUUGCUUGCAAAGAUAAGAGACAGAGGAUGACCUCAAUGAAUACAAAAUAAAACAACUUUAAAAGAUGGUUUGCCUACAGGAAAGUGCAUCAUUAACCUGCUCUGUAGCUUGAAAUUGUCUACAGGGACAUAUGCAUGCAUAUAUGGAAAAAAAGAAGAAUGUUUAAUGCAUCUAGCCUUGAAAAGUCAGUAAAGCACUUUCUUCAUUCUUUCAGUACGCACAUUCAACAGGAAAUGUGUGUACUUAAAUUUUUUAUUUUAUUUUAUUUUAUUUCCUUUGAGGAAAUUAUAGAUAUGAGAAUAUAGUUGAUUUUUUUCAAUAGAGAAGAAAUGUUUUGUAUUAUAAAAAUACCCUCCCACACACACAUUUCCACGUUCUCAGUUUAACAGCCAUCUUUUUUCCCAAUUUGACUUUCAGUGGGUGCUCCUAUAGCCCAAUUUGCAUGUGUUUAUAUAAUUUUAUUUUAUUUGUUAUUUAUUUUAUCUUACCUUGUAUGUUUUAUAUGUUGUCUAAAUUUACGGGAUAUGAUUAUACAAAUCUUAAGACUGAAGAAAUUGUCAUAGAUGCACAGUUCUGACAGUUAGGAACAAUUGUUCAUCUUCUCCAUGUAAGUUAAUUGUUUCAGUAUUUUUUUACAGGUUGAAUAUACUUUACAUAGGAUCACAAUCAGUUCAUAUGUCUCAAUUCUUACUCCUAUUUUCUUUAUAAUUAUCUGUAUUUUGCUAUUGUUAUCAAGGUCUUGAAUCAGAGCCCCAUCUCCCUCAAUACAGUAUACAUGCUUAAGAAA